CUACGGGUCGCUCCAGUCGAGGAAAUUUUGCAAUGCACGAAAGUGUGACAGAGCAAGCCAGAGUGCGUUUCCGUUUAGGAAAUGCUUUUGUGAAAUGUAAAUAGUUUUACGAAUAAGGACUGGGAGAGACCGGUGCCAGCCGCCGCGGUAAUCCCGGCAGUCCAAGUCGCAGCCACAUUUGUUGGGUCUAAAACAUCCGUAGCUUGCCAUAUAAGUCUUAUGUGAAAUCAGGCAUCUUAAAUGUCUGGCGUGCAUAAGAUACUGUUUGGCUAGAGACUGGGAGGCGCAAGAAGUACUUAUAGGGUAACGGUUAAAUGUGUUGAUCCUAUACGGACUAACAGUCGCGAAGGCGUCUUGCGAGAACGGUUCUGACAGUGAGGGAUGAAGGCUAGGGGCGCAAAGUGGAUUAGAUACCCCGGUAGUC
rnacentral:rRNA from 1 species